AGCUUAACAAAUCUCAUCUCAUUAUGAAUCAAGAAAUUGCAACGCUAAUUUAUUUCCUCUAUGGCUUAACUGUUUCCCUUGCACUCUUCAUCUCUGUAUUUUCUCUUUGUUUCCUUUCUCAUGUUCAUAAAACUUACUUUCUCUGUUCUUCGAAAUACUCUCACCUACACAUAACACAUGUUUAUCCUCUCUCUCACAUCAUCAUCGCAGUUUCACCUCUUUAUAGGGUUUUGAUUGUGCUCAAUUUUGUUCCUCCAGAAUAACGAGUGGAAAGCUCUGGAAGAUGCGAUUGAAGCUGAAUAUGAAGCCGUUUGAUUUCGUGCCACGAGUUGGAAUAAAAGAAAUUCGCUUCCUUCCAUUCAAUCUGACUGAUAAAAGAACUACACUUACAUAAAUUGAUGCUGCUAGUAACAUGCAAAGGGUUAACAAAGGUGAAUCAGAGCAGGAGGUUUAUAGCAGUGCCUUGCGGUUGCUGCUCUUUGUGGUGAGUACAUGUUAUCCUAAAUUAUGUUUGUGUUAUUGUGUAGCAGUUUUGACUUGGACCAUCAUUGCAAUAUGCCACAGAACAUAUUAUUUAUAUGACUUAAAAGGAAGCUACUUAUGAAUCUAAUUAAUUAUUCUAGUGGCCAACUGUUCUAACAUAUAAUUGUUGCUUACAAUGCUUUGAACAAUUGGCCUUACAGAUGAUGGGCCUAAUUGUGAGUGGGUCAGUUGGUUAAUGAUUCUAGAAUAUUCUGUGAGUAGAAUAAAAAGAAAGGAGGUGUGGAGAGUGGGUAUGCAUGUAUUCACUGAAUGGGAAUUAGGAAUGGGAAAAGGAUAUCUAGGGAUCUCUUAAGGCCUAGGUCUUUGGCUUUAAGGGUGAGUUAAGACCUUUGGUUUAUCUUUUCUGCAUUAUUAUUUCAUUGUUAUUAUCGUCCAGUAGUUGGAGUCAGUAUUACAAGUAUGAAAGUCUACUAAUACUCUGUUUCUCUGUCAUUGCUGUUGAUACUGUCACUGAUAUUUCAAAGGUAUUACAGAAGAAAUGGAGAUAUUUUACUGUUUAAUUGUUGUUAAAUAUUCUGGGUUCCAUCAACAGAUGUCAAAAGGACAGAAUUUGGAGGUAACUAAAUUUUUAAUUAUACAAUUACAACAUUGUGACAGAACAAGAUGGACUUUAUCAUUUUAUUUUGUUUUUUUGUUUUCUCGAAUUGCUAUUAGGAGAAAACUGAAAUGUUUUUAUCUGCCCAGUACAUUCACAGAUGAGGCAAGCAUGUACUAUGAAAUUUUGACCAUGACAUAUAUAUUGUUAAUUAUUUAUAUGGUUAUUGCACUUGCACAAAUACACCAAAUGCUUUUCUCGUGAUUAGUCUUGAGCACUUGUUGAAUUAUGAAGAAAUUUAAUUUACUGUCACUUUAUAAAAUAAUUUUACAGUCUUUUGCAUAAGCUUCUCAGCUCUUGGAUGUGUAAGCUUCCUUUUAGCUAGGUUUUAUUGAUGCCUUGCACCAUUGUCAAUACUAAGCUUCUUUCGGGUAACUGAAUUGCUUGUAUGUGUCAUGUUGUUUUCUUUUCACAAAUUUGAUUAAUAUAAUAACAUUCAUUUUCUCUUUCAACUUAGAGGUUGGAAUUGGUGCUCACGGCAUAAAAUUUCUUGUCAGCGGAUGAAAAUUUCUUCACCUUUUUUGUGGACCAAACAAAAAGUGCAACCACUUAAUUGGAAUCUCAUAAAGGUCACAAGGGAUAGUGUGUAACAGUGACCAAAGUGACAAA